rnacentral:lncRNA from 1 species
ACACGCUACCUGAUUACUCGCACACACUCAGUCAGUGCCACGUUAGCACUCAGUCAGCACCACGUCAACAUUCAGCUUGUCGUAACCUCAGCAAAUCCAGUUAGCGCCUUGUCAACAAACAAAAUAUUCCUUCAGUUUGGUAAAAUAACAGAUCAAUCUCUGAAGUUUAAAAAUUUUAUUUUUUAGUCCCUUAUUUUUUUGGAAAAUUACUAUUUGGACCCAGAAGAUUGUGAAAACUAUAGCUUGCCUCCAAAGUUUUGAUACUUGCAAUUUGAUCUCUGGACUUUCUAAAUUUUCACUUUAGUUCCCCCAAUAUUUUUCUGCAUUUCGGAUCCAUCCGCAAGGUCUGAAUUUAUGGAUUUUGACUCCGUAUCAGUUUGGGUAGAGCUGAAAUUGUUUAGAUGGCAAAAGCUUUGAAGACUUCUGGUACUUCUAUCGUC